ACUCGAGCGGCGAACGGGUGAGUAACACGUGAGCAACCUGCCCUAGGCUUUGGGAUAACCCCGGGAAACCGGGGCUAAUACCGAAUAUGACCUUUCCUCGCAUGAGGAAAGGUGGAAAGUUUUUCGGCCUGGGAUGGGCUCGCGGCCUAUCAGCUUGUUGGUGGGGUGAUGGCCUACCAAGGCGACGACGGGUAGCCGGCCUGAGAGGGCGACCGGCCACACUGGGACUGAGACACGGCCCAGACUCCUACGGGAGGCAGCAGUGGGGAAUAUUGCACAAUGGGCGGAAGCCUGAUGCAGCGACGCCGCGUGAGGGAUGACGGCCUUCGGGUUGUAAACCUCUUUCAGCAGGGACGAAGCGUAAGUGACGGUACCUGCAGAAGAAGCGCCGGCCAACUACGUGCCAGCAGCCGCGGUAAGACGUAGGGCGCGAGCGUUGUCCGGAUUUAUUGGGCGUAAAGAGCUCGUAGGCGGCUUGUCGCGUCGACUGUGAAAACCCGCAGCUCAACUGCGGGCCUGCAGUCGAUACGGGCAGGCUAGAGUUCGGUAGGGGAGACUGGAAUUCCUGGUGUAGCGGUGAAAUGCGCAGAUAUCAGGAGGAACACCGGUGGCGAAGGCGGGUCUCUGGGCCGAUACUGACGCUGAGGAGCGAAAGCGUGGGGAGCGAACAGGAUUAGAUACCCUGGUAGUCCACGCUGUA
rnacentral:rRNA from 1 species